rnacentral:rRNA from 2 species
GUCUCUUUGUUUUUUAUAUAUAAGGAGUCGGGCCUGCUCAGUGAUAUUGUAUUUAACAGCUGCAGUGUAAUAGCUGUACUAAGGUAGCAUAAUAAUUUGCCUUAUAAAUUAAGGCUAGAAUGAAUGGUUUGACGAAAGUUGAUCUGUCUCUUAUUUAUUUAUUAGAAAUUAAUUUUUAUAGUGAAAAAGCUUUAAUUAAUUAAAGGGACGAGAAGACCCUAUUGAGCUUUUAUCAAAUAUAUAUAAAAUUAUUUUAAAAUUAUAUAGGAAAUGAUUUUGAUUGGGGUGAUCGAGGAAUAAGAUAAAAUUAAUAACUUCCUUAAAAUAAUUAAAAGAUUGAUAAAUUAAUUAACCAAUAUUUUGCUUACGUGAAUAAGUUACCAUAGGGAUAACAGCGUAAUUUUUUUAGAGAGUUCUUAUUGAUAAAAAAGAUUGCGACCUCGAUGUUGGAUUAAAAUAACCUUAAGGUGAAGAAGCUUUAAUAGGUGAAUCUGUUCGAUUUUUAAAAUUUUAC